UACGUAGGUGGCAAGCGUUAUCCGGAAUUAUUGGGCGUAAAGAGCGCGCAGGUGGUUGAUUAAGUCUGAUGUGAAAGCCCACGGCUUAACCGUGGAGGGUCAUUGGAAACUGGUCGACUUGAGUGCAGAAGAGGGAAGUGGAAUUCCAAUGUGUAGCGGUGAAAUGCGUAGAGAUAUGGAGGAACACCAGUGGCGAAAGGCGGCUUCCUGGUCUGUAAACUGACACUGAGGCGACGAAAGCGUGGGGAGCAAACAGG
rnacentral:rRNA from 1 species